GGGCCAGUAGCUCAUCUGGUAGAGCGCCGCCCUUGCACGGCGGAUGUGGCGGGUUCGAGUCCUGUCUGGUCCACAA
rnacentral:tRNA from 2 species